rnacentral:rRNA from 1 species
AUGAACGCUGGCGGCGUGCCUCAUACCUGCCAGUCGCGCGAACAGACGAGGAGCUUGCUCCUCUGACGUUAGCGGCGGACGGGUGAGUAACACGUGGAUAACCUACCUAUAAGACUGGGAUAACUUCGGGAAACCGGAGCUAAUACCGGAUAAUAUAUUGAACCGCAUGGUUCAAUAGUGAAAGACGGUUUUGCUGUCACUUAUAGAUGGAUCCGCGCCGCAUUAGCUAGUUGGUAAGGUAACGGCUUACCAAGGCGACGAUGCGUAGCCGACCUGAGAGGGUGAUCGGCCACACUGGAACUGAGACACGGUCCAGACUCCUACGGGAGGCAGCAGUAGGGAAUCUUCCGCAAUGGGCGAAAGCUUGACGGAGCAACGCCGCGUGAGUGAUGAAGGUCUUCGGAUCGUAAAACUCUGUUAUUAGGGAAGAACAAAUGUGUAAGUAACUAUGCACGUCUUGACGGUACCUAAUCAGAAAGCCACGGCUAACUACGUG